ACCCCCAAGUCCGCAGGCAAUGGCAGCAGAGCGAGACUCGAAGCAGGAGCAAGGUUUAGGCAGUUGGAGAUGGGAGGAAAAGCUCAAGGAAAAUCAUGCAAAUGACACCGAAAGCCGGAAAGCACGCUGAAUUUGGGGAAGUACAAAUGAGUAGUUCAAUCUAUAGAAUGUGGACCUUGAGCUUGAGGAGGAUGUCAUUGGAAACGUUGGUUACAAACCCAAGGCUCCGCCUGACACACUGCAUUUGGGGAUGAUGCUCAUUUCAUCAGAAAUGACCUGGUCCUUUUGGGGGACUAAGGCUGACCGUCUGGAGCCAUUGGGAAACAGGUACCAGCCCCAUUGGGAGAACUGGCCCGGUACCUGGCUUACAAAGUUCUCAGCCUUACAGGUAGCUGAUGGCUGUGCAAACUGUCUGGUCUGAUGAGGUUUCAUGGGCUACCUUCUGCCACCCUGGUGGGAAGACCCGUUUCAUUACCUGCCUUUACACCGGACUGGAUCUGUUGCCUCGUCCAAUGGUCGAGCCUUACCAAAUUCUCAAGUCUUCCAGUCCAACUACAAUCCUUCAAGGUGAUGUUUCAUAUUUUUCUGCCACUCCCCUGACUCAGCAUCACCAAGAACUACAACUUGAGUGCUCAGAUCCCUUUCAGGCUUGAGGUUGCUUUGCAGGUGGCCUUUCCCUCAGAAUCCGAAGAAGCCCUGUGAGCUGAAGCCUGGUGACUCGGCAUUGACCUUGAAGGAAUGAGCCCUGCAGCAGACCAGGCACAGGGUUGGAAUUCUCCCUGGGGAAGCUGCUGCUGGACCACUAAGGAAGUCCAACAAGAUGGGUCACACACGCCCUUGGAUGAGAGGUAGCCAAGACUAUGCAUGGCAUCACCAAGAACAGAGACAUCUUAGUUUCAAGGAACUCAAGGAGGUUCUACAAGUAUAAAUUAUAUUGAGCUUCAAAGACUUAGUACCACAACAAACAAACUAAUAAUCAUAAAGCAAGGAACCCAUGAAGUGGGGCAACGCAGUUUUCCACUGCUGACCUCUGGUGUCCGCUGGACUGGUUCAUUCAAGGUUCCACUCCUGGCUCUUUACUUUAAUACAACUUUUGUACUAUUACUUCCCUAUGUUAGGCAUCCUUCCUUUAAGGGCCCUCUCUGGGACCCCAAAACAACCGAGCUUUGCCACCUCCUGUCAACAGGUGGGUCACCAGUUUUACAGGAGCAACACCGGCAAGAACCCUGGAGAGACCGUCUCUUGGGCCCUGCGUCACCCUGCUGGGCGAUUUCUGCUCACCUCUGAGCUGUUCAGCGACAAACAACGGGAGGGGGGGGAUGAUGAGGUUGAACUUGAUGGGAGCCCUGGGCAACCUCAGCGUGAUGGUUAAGCCUCCCCACCCUUCUGUGCUCAGAAAUGACAAACCAGCUAACCACAGAGGAACACGCUCUCCUCAGAGGUUCUGCAAGAAACCUCCUCUCCAUCCUUCCUUGUACUACCUGUAAGACUCUAAGACGACUCCCUCAUCUAUCUGCUUCUAUAAAACCACAGUCUUCCUUCUUUUUCUUUGAGAUGUUCCUCCUUCAUGAAUGCUCUCCUUAUUGUAACAGCCUGCAUAAAACCAUCUCCUUCAUUAUCUGGAGAAAAUUGCCUGUCCCAGCUCCAGAGACGACUUCCCUUGGAUGGCAGCCAGCAAGUCACCCCGACGGUCCUGUGGGUUCGCGUGAAUAUGCAGCAGAGUUAGAUCCUGCUUUCCCUUCCCGGCAGGUGUCUCCCGUCUUGGUGGCCCCAGUCCUGAUUCUGGGAUGUCCUGUGUUAGCUGGAGCUCCCAGUUUUCCUUCGUUACAAAGACAGCAGCCCCAGUGGGUGUGGUCCACAAGUUGCUGGCUCCCUAGAGUAAGUCUCCUCUAGACGGUCCUGGAUGGAAGACCCGAGCUUGCACAGAUGAAGAUGCCCAUCACGCUGUGCUUCUGGCAUGAUCCGGUGGAGGACACCUAUCUCCAGAGUGUUUGUUGGGGGGAAUAGGUAAGGCUCUAUGUCCAAGUAUCCAUGUAAGCCUGAGACCAAGGGUUUGCAGUGAGGUGGGGCCGGGAGCAGUGGGGCUUCCAGCAGGGGUUACAGAGAGCAGGGGUCACAGGGGAGGAGCUUGUGGGUAUGCUCCUGGCAGCAGUGGGGCCCCCCAAUAGCAGGGAUUCCUCUGUGCUGCCUCCCUUCUGUCCGAAUGGGUGUGGGCCAGAGUUCAGAAGGCUCUUUGACACCCUAUAAUCUGCCACAAAACAGAUCAUAGUUACCUGCCAUUCUACAGGUAGUUAGAUCCUCUCUGCCAUUAGGUGGGAGGGCUGGGUCUUGGUUCCGGGUGAAUGAUGUCACUCUGAGGUGCCCGGAGGGGAUAGCUUCAAGGGAGCAUAGGUCAAGCUGAGGAAGGCGCUGUGGUUCUCUUGGGUGGUCAGGCCCUCGGCUGGUGGGAGACCGUGCGUGUGUGUUGCGUACAGGUGAGUGGGCGUGUGUGAGCAUGGAUGUGUAUACAUGUGAAGGAGGCACAGCGGGAGUCAGCCUGCAACGCUUGUUUAGAAAGCCCCGGUCCACCCCAGACAGCGCACGCCUGCUGGACUGGUCGGGGGGCAAGCGGACACAGAGCUCUAUCGCUCUGGCAUCUUCCUGCCAGCUCAUUCCUCGCCCCCAGACUGGGUCGGGCCUGCCAGGCGGGACAGGCUUCAGCGCAGGCUCACCUGGUCUCUUCCUGAAGGGCAACCCGUGACCGCUGAGGGCAGGGUAAGCGCUUGCUUGCCUUCUGGAAGAAGAAGGACUCAGGGGUCAGGCCCAUCCAGGGAACGAGAUGAGGCAGCAGGACCACAUUCAAGCAGUGGCUUUGGCCGGAGUCCAGGCUUCCCGACACCUGCUACAGCGGAGGAGAGCCCUGGGGAGCUGCCCCCGCUGCUUCCAGAAAGGACUGUUCAGACUUAGAUGGCACAGAAGAUGGGCUCUUGCGAGUCCAGGGGUGGUCCGGGUGACAGUGCGCCGUGGUGCAUGCCCAGACUGGUGCAGCUAGGAUGCAGGUGAUGGACUUGGCACCUGGCCACCGCUUGCCAGCGGGCAGGGCCCCCAAGCAGGAGCUGCAGUGUGUCCGGCUAUCUUAGGACCGACGGAGAAGAUGUUGUUUGUGUUGCCAGAGCGUCUGAGGUUUUCCAAGUGUGCUGGAGAUGACCCAGGUCAAAUCCAUCCACUGGAACUUGACCCCUCUCAGGCUGAGGACCCGCGCGCACAGUCACACUCUCAGAGCAGAUUCUGCAGACCCCCGUGCCUGCAGCCACACUGAUUCCGCACCCACAGCACGCGCUACUAACCACCUCCAGAACCAUUCAAGGAGGUUUCCAGCUGCUUCUCUAAGGCUGCAUGGUAGGGAAUGACUAUGCUGUCAACAAAGUUUCAAAUUAAAAGAUACCAAAGUUACUUUUAAAAUGUAUAAAAUACACACAAAGUAACAUUUGUUGUUACAAGUGUCCAUCCCAGGAGUCUGUAGAUCGGAGCUGAUCACAGGUGUUCAGUGGCCCCAGCGGAGUUUAGGGUCAUUACCACCACCCCAGAGCACAGGCCUGGUUGUGGGAGGACCACGUUCCUCUAGAAACAAAAUCCCACCCAUUCACCGAUAACCAUCACUCGUUCCCCAUUAAAAUGACCAAGCAAAUCAGCCCUAACACUAUGGGAUGUUUUUAAACUGAAAUUACAUCACAACCAGCCCAAUUUCUGUCUCAGCAUUUGAAAUGCAAGUUCCAUCACUGAUUGCUUUCACAAAAAUCAUCUCCGAAGAAGUCAUCUUGAUUAAAUCAAGGGACAAAUUACGUCAUGGAAAAUAUUUAUGAACAUUUUGCUAUUUGCCAAGCUAUCUUAACAAUAAAAAAAAAAAACAAAAA